rnacentral:rRNA from 1 species
UACGGAGGGUGCAAGCGUUAUCCGGAUUCACUGGGUUUAAAGGGUGCGUAGGCGGAUUGGGAGGUCCGUGGUGAAAUCCCCGAGCUUAACUUGGGAACUGCCGUGGAUACUCUCAAUCUUGAAUAUCGUGGAGGUAAGCGGAAUAUGUCAUGUAGCGGUGAAAUGCUUAGAUAUGACAUAGAACACCAAUUGCGAAGGCAGCUUGCUACACGGUCAUUGACGCUGAGGCACGAAAGCGUGGGGAUCAAACAGG